rnacentral:rRNA from 1 species
CAGUCGCCGCGGUAAUACGAAGGGGGCUAGCGUUGUUCGGAAUUACUGGGUGUAAAGGGCGCGUAGGCGGCCAUUCAAGUUAGAUGUGAAAGCCCUGGGCUCAACCUAGGAAUUGCAUUUGAUACUGUUUGGCUUGAGUUCGGGAGAGGUGAGUGGAAUUCCCAGUGUAGAGGUGAAAUUCGUAGAUAUUGGGAAGAACACCAGUGGCGAAGGCGGCUCACUGGACCGACACUGACGCUGAGGCGCGAAAGCGUGGGGAGCAAACAGGAUUAGAUACCCCCGUAGUUCCUGUCUCUUAUAA